AAACAGAUUGCCAGAAUCUCUUUAAGGCCGUACGAUAAUCUUUCUCCAUGCCCUCCCCGAACUCCUCUCAAGUCCGAGUUUUUGCCUCCGCAACGGCACGGGCUGCAGCACGCUUGGCCUGUCGCACCUCCUCAGGCAGAAUGUGCAGGUCUUCACCAAGAGGACUAUGAGCAGCAGGACCACAGUGAGGAGGAAAACCAGGACAUCCAGGCUGUGAUACUGGUACCAGCACCUCCUCAGGCAGAAUGUGCAGGUCUUCA